rnacentral:lncRNA from 1 species
GGCCAGAAAUCCAGCCACCUUUAGUCAAGCAAAUCGACCCCAGGACUUAUUCUUUGUAAGCCUAGUACUUAUUCUAUCGGUCUCUUUUGCCGAACCGCUAAGUUACGGGGACAUAAACACACCUGCAUCGGUUGUCAAGCAAUGUUGGGAGGGGGACAAACACAGAAAACAAAUACACACACACACACACACACACACACAUAUAUAUAUAUAUAUAUAUAUAUAUAUAUAUAUAUAUAUAAUAAUAAUAAUAUUAGGGAGUAAAUCCAAACUUACAGGGAAAAAUUAGAUUUAGGAUUAAAUCUAAUUUUACAGUAUAAAUAUAUAUAUAUAUAUUAAAUUAAUUUUAUUUCUAUGUUUUGGUUUAUGUUUUUCACUGUUUGAUUUGCCUAAUAGUAGUUUUAUCUCUAAUUUAAUAUAUAUAUAUAUACAUAUAUACGAUGGGCUUCUUUCAGUUUUCGCCUACCAAAUCCACUCACAAGGCUUUGGUCAACCCAAGGCUAUAGUAGAAGAAUCCGGAACCAUGUGGCUGGUAAGCAAGCUACUUACCACACAGCCACUCCUGCGCCUAUGUUUGUUUAUGAAAUUUAAUUCUUAAUAUUUUGUUUUUAUUUUUCUAGGACCAGAUGGCUGCUUUGGAGAAUCUUCUAGAAGAAUUACGUCAGAUCAAUAAACUUAGUGUUAAUAUGGAACAAAAAAUGCAAUAUUCAAGUGCCAUUGCUAAGUACCAAGGACUGAAAAUGCAUCUUCUUAAAAAAUUUGACUACCGUAACAAAAGAACUGGCCUCCUUAUAGAUUCGCUUCCUGUAAUUUGUGACAUCUGCCAAGACUACAAACGUUAUGUAAAUUGCUCUCAGGAGAAUUAUAUUUUUAAGUUGUGUGGAUUGAGAUCACAUAUAAAGAACUUUGAUCUUCAAGAAUUAAGUUUACAAAGUUAAAUGAUUAUUUCACUAACAUUGUUCGGCAAUUUUCCAUGGAAACGGUUUAUUGGUAAGAUAAGAUGAAAGGGAAAUGAUGAAUCAGAUGAGACUAAAUUCCUUAUUCUAUUAUAUUCUAAUAAACUUAUUUGUUCUCUUUACUCCUUUUACUCUUUUACUUGUUUCAGUCAUUUGACUGUGGCCAUGCUGGAACACUGCCUUUAGUCGAGCAUAUCAACCCCAGGACUUUUGCCGAACCGCUAUGUUAUGGGGAUGUAAACACACCAGCAUCGGUUGUAAAGCGAUGUUGGGGGGGACAAACACAGACAUACAAACAUACACACACACACACACACACAAAUACACACACACAUAUAUAUACAUAUAUACAACGGGCUUCUUUCAGUUUCCAUCUACCACAAGGUUUUGGUUGGCACAAGGCUGUAGUAGAAGACACUUGCUCAAGGUGCCAUGCAGUGGGACUGAACCCUGAACCAUGUGGUUCGUAAGCAAGUUACUUACCACACAGCCACUCCUGCGCCUAUAGGAUAAGUGCCAGACUUAAAAGAUAAACAAGUACUACGGCCAAUUUCUUUGACUGAAAACCUUGAAGGAAGUGCCCCAAUAUGGCCACAGUCUAAUGACUGAAACAAGUAAAAGAUACAACAUAGAAGACAGCUUUAUUUGUAGAGAGGGGACACCUAACACUAACUAACACACCCUUUCAGCUGUAUUGGGUUCUCCUUUUUUAUAAUUACCUUUAUUUUCCUACUGUUUCUUUGCCCUCACCAUCACAUUCUCAGUCACUGUUGUGCUCCUCUGUACUCCAACACCCUCCAAGCUACACUUCACUUUGCCUUACUAAUGUGCCUACUCCCGUUCAUGUUUCUUGUCUGUACGCCUACCUCCCUCCGUACUGCUUGCAACAACUUCUCCAGUACUUCUCUCUAUUAUUAGCCCCGCCCCUUUUUUUAAAUAAAAAGUACUUCACCAUCCGAGCGUGAUUGUUGCCAGAGUGGCUGUCUGGCCUCCGUGCCGGUGGCACGUAAUAGACAUCAUUCGAGUGUGAUUGUUACCAGCAUCACUUCACUGGCACCUGUGCCGGUGGCAUGUGUAAAAGAUUCGAGCGAGGUCGUUGCCAGUACCGCCUGACUAGACCCAUGCCAGUGGCAAGCAAAAGCACCCACUACACCCUUGGAGUGGUUGGCGUAAGGAAGGGCAUCGAGCUGUAGAAACUCUGCCAGACCAAGAUUGAAGCCUGGUGCAGCCAUCUGGUUCGCCAGCCCUCAGUCAUUCGUCCAACCCAUGCUAGCAUGGAAAGCGGACGUUAAACGAUUCUGAUGAUGAGGAUUCCCUUGACACACUCACCCCUUCAUCUUCUGAAAGAAAAUGCCAAGAAUUUGUUGCACAAGGAUGUUCAGGUAUUUAAAUGUGUGCUAGUUGGUACUAUCUGUGCUCUUAUGUUUAUGACUAAUACUAUCUCAGAAUUGAACUUUCUUGUAUAUAAUAUGCAUUAUUAUAUUAAUCAUUCACUGAUCAUUUGAAACAGCUGUAAAGACAAGAUCUUCAUGUAUCAUUUAUAAAUCGUAUUUGCAAUUUUUAAUAUUAAUACAUCUGUUAUUGUUGGUCUAUCAUUCUUCAAUAUGUAUGUAUGCAUAUGUGUAUCUAUCUAUCUAUCUAUCUAUCUAUCUAUCUAUCUAUCUAUCUAUCUAUCUACAUGUCUGUCUGUCUAUCUAUCUAUCUAUCUACAUGUCUGUCUGUCGUUCUGUCUAUCUAUCUACCUGUCUGGCUGUAUGUAUGUAUGUGAUAUAUAUAUAUAUAUAUAUAUAUAUAUAUGUGUGUGUGUGUGUGUGUGAAUACACAAACACUUCUUUAUGUUAUAAUUUCUAUUCAUAUUCUGUGAAUUGUAUGAGUCACAGAAAAUAAAGUAGGAGAAAAACCAAUCUACCUUUCCUUAGAGAUUUAUGGGCCAAAGUUGUACAGUGGUGUUACCACUAUGAGUGAGUGGGGGAAGUUUGCUAUUGGUUUCCCAGAACCCUUUCAGGUUACCAACAGGAUCAACGAUACUCUUUCUUUU